CACCAAUCAAGUCUUACUUGGUAUUGGGCAUCGCGGUCCGCCGCGUGCCUCAAAUCGACCGGCUGGGUCUUCUGUCCCCUAAGCGUUGUGGAAACUAUUCGCUAAAGGGUGUUCGGGAGGCUACGCCGUAAAACAACCCCAUUUCUAA
rnacentral:misc_RNA from 1 species